rnacentral:lncRNA from 1 species
UGGGAGUGAUGAUAAGAAAUCUGAGGAUGAAGGUAGUGAUGAACUGUUGAGUGAUGUGAACUCUAUGGAAUUAAUCGAUCCCCUGAGUAGUUAUAAGGAGCCCGGUUGUAAGAUAAGAAAAAGAAACUUCUCCUUAUUAGAAAUAAAGGGCUCGAAACCAUUUAAGGUUGCAGAGGGAGGACAAAUAUAUUUGAGAAAGGACAGCUAUUUAUACAUGUGAAUG